AACGAACGCUGGCGGCAGGCUUAACACAUGCAAGUCGAACGCCCCGCAAGGGGAGUGGCAGACGGGUGAGUAACGCGUGGGAAUCUACCGUGCCCUGUGGAAUAGCUCCGGGAAACUGGAAUUAAUACCGCAUACGCCCUACGGGGGAAAGAUUUAUCGGGGUAUGAUGAGCCCGCGUUGGAUUAGCUAGUUGGUGGGGUAAAGGCCUACCAAGGCGACGAUCCAUAGCUGGUCUGAGAGGAUGAUCAGCCACAUUGGGACUGAGACACGGCCCAAACUCCUACGGGAGGCAGCAGUGGGGAAUAUUGGACAAUGGGCGCAAGCCUGAUCCAGCCAUGCCGCGUGAGUGAUGAAGGCCUUAGGGUUGUAAAGCUCUUUCACCGAUGAAGAUAAUGACGGUAGUCGGAGAAGAAGCCCCGGCUAACUUCGUGCCAGCAGCCGCGGUAA
rnacentral:rRNA from 1 species